CCUACGGGUGGCUGCAGUGAGGAAUAUUGGUCAAUGGACGAGAGUCUGAACCAGCCAAGUCGCGUGAAGGAUGACUGCCCUCUGGGUUGUAAGCUUCUUUUAUAUGGGAAUAAAACGUUCCACGUGUGGGAUUUUGUAUGUACCAUAUGAAUAAGGAUCGGCUAACUCCGUGCCAGCAGCCGCGGUAAUACGGAGGAUCCGAGCGUUAUCCGGAUUUAUUGGGUUUAAAGGGAGCGUAGGUGGAUUGUUAAGUCAGUUGUGAAAGUUUGCGGCUCAACCGUAAAAUUGCAGUUGAAACUGGCAGUCUUGAGUACAGUAGAGGUGGGCGGAAUUCGUGGUGUAGCGGUGAAAUGCUUAGAUAUCACGAAGAACUCCGAUUGCGAAGGCAGUUCACUGGACUGCAACUGACACUGAGGCUCGAAAGUGUGGGUAUCAAACAGGAUUAGAUACCCCAGUAGUC
rnacentral:rRNA from 1 species